CAGGAGCUGCAUGCACAGAGCCUCUGCCGAGCUUCCCGGCUCGGCAGGAAAAGCAGGCUGGUGAUGGCUGCUAGGGCCACCCGCUCCACUUCAGCCUCCUUCUUCGUGCCUCACGGGCAGACCUUUGCCCACACAUCCCGUGCUGUGGUCAAGGGUGUGUACCUGCUGCUGGACCGAGAGAUCCUCCUCAGCAGGGCAUCACCAGUGUGUGGGCACCAACCUGCUGCUCCUGGUGGAAGUGCCCAGUUCAGGAGACGCCUCAGAGCCUGGGUCUGCAUUUCAAGAGGGCUAGAAACGGGAGUCGAGCUGCAAGACUCUUGUCUCUGCUAAGCUCAUCCAUCAGAUCCAUGGACACAGCUCACUUUGCUCGCUCUUGAGCUUUGAAAUUACUUGUUCAUAUAUCCUCUUCUCCCUGCCCAUUCUUUCCUUUCCUCUCUCUAGUCUCUUUGGCCAGUUCCUUCCUCCUUUCUCAUUCUCAAAUCUAAA